rnacentral:lncRNA from 1 species
CUAACCCUGGCUGAGGGCUCAGCACUGUCAGCGUGACCUGACUCCUCAGGUAUGCUGUCAUCUUACCAUGAGCUGAGAGCCUCCUUGGAUGCCAUCAACAGCCACCUGCAGAGGACACAGGCCUCGCCUGCGGCCACACCUGCCCUUGCUGCCUGGCUGUGCAGUGGAGACCCCUGUGCCUCACCUCUGCAUCACAACACUCGGCAGGGCUGACACACUGGCAGCUCCGCGCCCAGGCCAGCUGAUUCCAUCAUUUGAAGAUGCCAUUUCUUCUGAGCCAGGGAUUUUAUGGCUCUAAGGAUUAGAAGCUGUUAUCCCAACCCACCCCGGAGCACUCUAUUCUGAGUUUAUGGCAGGUGUGGACAGCUCCGUCUGCAGGUCCCAGAGUCCACUCCAAGCACCUCCCCAAGGGCACAAAGUCCCGUCCCCUGGGCCUCCACCCUGGAGCCAGAAGAGCUUGCAGAGACACUUCUGUCCACUGCAGAAGGACGUCAGGAAGCCAAGCUUGCAGAGGUGACCUGGCCUCUCUCAGAGGCCAGGAAGAGGCAACUGUGGGAGCCACAUCCAGCCCCUGUCCUUCCUGCCCCUGCCGGCCUGCUGACCCACCUCCCCAGCAGUGUCCACCUGACCACACUGAGCCUUGCCGGUCACCUCUCUCCCCCAGCAUCUGGCUCCAGACACAACCCUCUGGCUCCUGAGCUGUCUUUAGUGGUCGCUGUAGGAUUUCUGUGUACAUCUCAUCAGAGUCAACCUCAGGGUCUGCAGGAUUCUGUGGGGGUGGGGAUGGGGGGGUCAGGAAAUACAACUCCCACACAGCUCCUUCCCUCUGGCUUUUAUGGCACUGUUCUGUACAUGUGACUCUCUCAGGAUUACAAAGCCCACAACACAUCUGGCAGUUAUUCCCUUGCACGGGUCCUCACGCCCACAGCCCGGUCUGGCCUCACUCCCUCCCACCUUUGUGUAACUACUCCCAAACAUGAUACGUGGGUGCUACCUUUCCCUCUGCCACAAGCCUGACAAUCCAUUCCAUGCACAUCCUUUUCUAUGCCUGUUUGUUAUGUGCACGUGUCAACUUCACACAAGGAAUGUAAAUAUUAGGUGUUGCAAACAUGUAUUAAUAAAAAAAAACAGUUAAGAGGAAAAAAGGAGUUUUCCUUUCAAUGCC